CUUCUCCAUCUAAAGGCUUAUUUACACUUGUGAGAAUUCAGUACAUUUGAAAUCUCUACCCUUCUGUUACAUUUAGUUGAAAUUGGCACAUGAGUUCAAAACUAGUUAAGAAACACACCUGCUACAUAAACACGUACAUGCACAUACACAACAUACUGCGCAAUGGCAAAAGUCUUAUUCUGGUAAGAGACAGGGUUUAAAAAGCAGUGUGUGCACAGGAACAUUACCUCUUUUACCCCCUCCCAAAAUCCAGACCUGAAUUCACAGCAGCAUUUUACACCCAUGUUCCCAGAGGGCAUCCACAGCCAUGUUCAGGGCUGGGAUGAGGACAGAAAGCAGGGACCAAAUGUCCUCUGACAUCCCAGGCCAUAGGGCUGGGAGCACAAGGGACACGCUCACCUCCCUCCAUCCAUACCUUGGUGUUUACUCAUAGACAGGAUAUUAUGGGUUAGGGAUUGUAGUCACCUCCCAGAUCCCUUAGAAGAACAAGUUUUUGGGGGACACGUGCUGGAGGACACGGACCACAGCCACCGAGACCCCAGCCCCAGACGGAUGCUGGCUCUCCCCAUACAAACCCUCCUGGUGUACUCCAUUGACAAUCCUUCACAGCCACCAAGGCAUGCUCAUCCCCACUAGCUUUCACAACGGGGCUUGCCAACCUCCACAAUGAUCUACGCGCAGUGAUUUGUGAUGUACUGAAACACAGUUUACAUUGCAAAAAGCUCUAAUAUGUCCCUGGAAAGCAAUUAAGAGAGAGUUGCAUAUGAGCGUUAAGAGUUUUGCUUCGUGAGCAGAUGUCCUCUUGGCGGAUGCACCUCCGACCCCUCGCUCCAGCAAGCCUUGCUCCACCUUGGAGUUGCAGCAAGGAGAGGGGCCGUCCUGCUCCUGCUUAGCCAGGCUGACUUUUACGAGGCCUUUCUCCGGAAAUAAGAAGUAUGGUAAAGCGAGGUGAUCUUCCCCCGCGGCUGCUGGUGUGGAUUAUGGAGCUGGCAGCAGCAGGAACGCAUUAAGGAAAGCUCCCAGCAAUGGCUUUCCAGAAAGGUCUUCGGAAGCCUCCCCCUGCUGCCUUCAUGCCGGCAGCAUCAUUUUUCAAGGCCCUCUCCCCGUCCUGGCGGGACGCGGAUACGGGAGGCUUUGUGCAGACCUGGUGCCCGGGCAGGAGGCGCCUCUGCUGCAGCCGCAGCCCCGUUGGGUUGGAUCCCAUCCCUGCAGGCAUGGGGUGAAAUGAUGCUGGUGGCAGUCCCAAACAUCUGGGAGUCUCACAAGACCCAAAUAGGAACCUUACAACCCGUCACAUCCUAUUUGCAGACAAGGCACAGAAGAAGUUGCCUACAGCUGACAAAUAAACCUUGGAGUGUCAAUGA